rnacentral:rRNA from 1 species
AGCAGCCGCGGUAAUUCCAGUUCCAAUAGCGUAUAUUAAAGUUGUUGCAGUUAAAAAGCUCGUAGUUGAAUUUCGGGAUUGACGUGAUGGUCGUGCCUUACGGGGUAUGAACUGUUGCAGUCAAUUUCUCACCUUCUGGAGAAAUAUGAUGUCCUUAAUUGGGUGUCAUAUGGAACCAGAACUUUUACCUUGAAAAAAUUAGAGUGUUUAAAGCAGGCUUAUUGCUCGAGUACAUUAGCAUGGAAUAAUAAAAUAGGACGGCAUGGUUCUAUUUUGUUGGUUUCUAGGAUCACCGUAAUGAUUAAUAGGGAUAGUUGGGGGCAUUAGUAUUCAAUUGUCAGAGGUGAAAUUCUUGGAUUUAUUGAAGACUAACUACUGCGAAAGCAUUUGCCAAGGAUGUUUUCAUUAAUCAAGAACGAAAGUUAGGGGAUCGAAGACGAUCAGAUACCGUCGUAGUCUUAACCAUAAACUAUGCCGACUAGGAAUCAGACGAUGUUAAUUUUUUAAUGACUCGUUUGGC